UAAGACCUGACCUACAGGAAUAACCUACAAUAAUCAAUAACCUCUUAAAUGAUCAAUAACGAGUCAAUUAUAUUGUGGUUGAAGGGGGAGCCAGGAGACACGGGCGAAAAGGGAUGUCCUGGAACCCCUGGUAUCCCGGGGCGACGGGGCUUUAAAGGAGCUAUGGGCUCGAGGGGCGACCCUGGGUCUCUGGUAACAGACUAAACAUGAUAUAUACAUCAAACAUAUACAAAUAUACUGUAUAUAAAAGAUAAAAACAUAAAAUAGGGUUAGCUUCUUAGCUGCCACUUGAAUCACAUUUCUGGUGUAAAAGAUGUUCUGCUUUUGUCUUUCAGGGAGAACCAGGGAAAGACGGAGCUCUUGGGUCUUAUGGAAUACCAGGAGAGCCAGGGGACCAAGGAGCCAUCGGAGUACCUGGAAUAGAAGGUUCAAAGGUAAGCUGAACUCACACACCUGUUCAUCUCUUACCUGUUCAUCGCUCACCUGUUCAUCUCU
rnacentral:lncRNA from 1 species